GACGAACGCUGGCGGCGUGCUUAACACAUGCUAGUCGAACGGAAAGGCCCUGCUUGCAGGGUACUCGAGUGGCGAACGGGUGAGUAACACGUGGGUGAUCUGCCCUGUACUUCUGGAUAAGCUUGGGAAACUGGGUCUAUUACCGGAUAGGAGCCAUCUUUAGUGUGGUGGUUGGAAAGUUUUUUCGGUGUUGGAUGAGCUCGCGGCCUAUCAGCUUGUUGGUGGGGUAAUGGCCUACCAAGGCGGCGACGGGUAGCCGGCCUGAGGGGGUGUACGGCCACAAUGGGACUGAGAUACGGCCCAGACUCCUACGGGAGGCAGCAGGGGGGAAGAUUGAACAAGGGGCGCAAGCCUGGUGCAGCGAGGCCGCGUGGGGGAAGGAGGGCUUCGGGGUGAAAACACCUUUCGCUAGGGAAGAAGCUUUUUUGGAAGGGAACCAAGAAAAGAGGAACGGGUAAACUAGGG
rnacentral:rRNA from 1 species